rnacentral:rRNA from 1 species
UAGGGACCGAGCGUUGUCCGGAAUCAUUGGGCGUAAAGAGCGUGUAGGCGGCUAUUUAAGUCCUGCGUGAAAUCCUGCGGCUCAACCGCAGACGGUCGUGGGAAACUGGAUGGCUAGAGUGCGGGAGAGGAGAGUGGAAUUCCCAGUGUAGAGGUGAAAUUCGUAGAUAUUGGGAAGAACACCGGUGGCGAAGGCGGCCAUCUGGACCGCAACUGACGCUGAGGCGCGAAAGCGUGGGGAGCAAACAGG